GAAUAUUGGACAAUGGGCGAAAGCCUGAUCCAGCCAUGCCGCGUGUGUGAAGAAGGUCUUCGGAUUGUAAAGCACUUUAAGUUGGGAGGAAGGGCAGUAAGCGAAUACCUUGCUGUUUUGACGUUACCGACAGCAUAAGCACCGGCUAAAUCUAUGCCAGCCGCCGCGGUAAUACAGAGGGUGCAAGCGUUAAUCGGACUUACUGGGCGUAAAGCGCGCGUAGGUGGUUCGUUAAGUUGGAUGUGAAAUCCCCGGGCUCAACCUGGGAACUGCAUCCAAAACUGGCGAGCUAGAGUAUGGGAGAGGAUGGUAGAAUUCCAGGUGUAGCGGUGAAAUGCGUAGAGAUCUGGAGGAAUACCGAUGGCGAAGGCAGCCAUCUGGCCUAAUACUGACACUGAGGUGCGAAAGCAUGGGGAGCAAACA
rnacentral:rRNA from 1 species